UUCUGUGAUGACAAGUUGUCGCCCCAGACGGAGCUAUAAUGACCGAUUCGAUUAACACUGAAAAUUCUGACG
rfam:Pichia pastoris GS115 chromosome 1, complete sequence